ACUAAUGCUGUCUAGAUAGUGAGCUCGACAGAUCUUGAGACGCAGCCGCUGAGUGCUCCUUUAAAAACUAUCCGAUAGGAAACAGCGGAAGUAUAAUCCAAGUACAAUCCAGUGCAAUUUUGAUUAUUUGCAUUAUUUGCAGUUUUUUAUUAGUCACUUAUCUGCGGUUUUUAUCAAAACCUUUUAAGUCAAAAGGAAUUUUAAACAUAAAAAUAUUAUUGUGAAAAAUCACUGCCGUAUCCACAAUAUGUCUGUGACUGUGACAGCACACACUGAGCGAAGCAUGUUAAUGAUCCUGGACUGAGCUGGUCAGAUAAAGAGAAAAUAACAUACACUGCUGCACUUGUACCUGGAGAGAAGAAAGGCGCUGAAUGCAGAGCUACAAAGAGCUGUGGCUUCCAGCUGUGAACAUGCUGGGAUUGCAGUCGGUGGUUGAGAGGAAGCUGAUGAGGGAGCAGUUCCUCAAACAGGUCUGGAGAUGGAAAGAUGAAAAGGGGGAUGAGAUUUAUUAUCAGCUGAGAAAACGAGGUGCAUCUCUUGACUGGAGCAGAGCCUGUUUUACGAUGGAUCCGGUAAUAAAAAGCUAUUCUCAGUUUUCUUGCAGUAUGCACAAAAUGCAUUUUGUCUCUGAGAAUGACCAUACAUUCUCCUCUGAUAAAAGUACACUUUAACAUACAAUUAUUAUUUUUUUUAAGUGCCUGGAUUAAAGUUCCUAAGAUUGCUUUGGGAGUCUCCUACAGUAGGGUCACAUGCAUGCAUGCAAACAUUACUUUUUCAGUUUGCUCUGUUUCUCCAGAUAUCAUUUUUUUCAUUUGGUUCUAAGGUGAUUUAUUUAUCUAUUAUAUAUAUAUAUAUUUAGAAGGAGAAGUUGCAGUUUCAACCACUCGUCCAUAGAUGAUGCUGGGAGACGUGGCCAUUGCUGAUCAUCCCGAUGACCCUCGAUUUAAAGUUAGAAAAAAAGGGAUCAUCACAGCAAACACAGAGCACUUAUGACCCAUUGUCACUGACUCUAUGGUGGAUGUGACAUUUGGCAAAGGUGCUGUUAAAGUGUCCCCAGCUCAUGACCACACUGACUUCCUGCUCUCCCAAGCCUCACUGUGAUUGGAGGAGAUGGGACCAUGACCUCAGACUGCGGCCAGUGGCUAGAGGCAGUGGAAGAAGGAGAUGUACAGAUAAUUCCUCACUUUUAUACAGAAAUGUAGAAGAGCUGGCUGUCCAACAGCAGCGAUUGGUGUAUUUCCAGACAGCUUUGGUGGGGUCAUCAGAUACCAGAUAAUCAUGUGACACUGCCAAACUCAAAGGACACAGAAGAGACCCAGAUGUGCUUGAUACUCGGUUCUCUUCUGGUCUCUUCUCGUUCGCAUUGCUCAGCUGGCCUCAGCAGACAGAAGACUUGAAACACUUCUACCCCAGUUCUAUUCUGGAAACAGGAAGUGACCUCAUCUUCUUCUGGGUGGCCAGGAUGGUGAUGCUGGGCAGAGUUGACCGUGUUGGGUUGAUGGCUUAUUGCUGAGCUCAUAACUCUAAAUGGCAUGUCAUAAAUUUGCCCAAAGGGAUCCAGAGACGGGACAGACGCGUUGAGGUUUGCGCUCUGCUCUUAUAAAGCCCAGGGAGAGGACAUCAUCCUGUCUGUGUCUCGUGUGCUGAGCUGUGGACAUGUCUGUAAUAAGAUGUGCGCUUCACCCUCGCCACGCAGCAUGAUGCAAGUUUAGCCACAUCAUGAGCAGAGUUGUGUGUUGUAGUGUUGGUGGUGUGUGCACAGGAUCAGAUUGGAUCUCAGCGCUUCAUCUACAAUGUCUAGACCUCCACCUUCGGCCAGUGCUGUAAGGGGUGCUGGAUCACUCCAUCUGCUUACAUCUCAGUGUUCAGCUUCAGAAUGGUAUUAUUGCUGACAAACAGAGAGCUUUCCUCUCAGCGCAGAGUAACGCUGGCCUCCAAACUCAAGCAAGCCCUUGCUUACACAGAAGCCCAGCUACACAGAAAAACUACCUGAUAAAGUCAGAAAAGACACAGAGGAGAAGGUGGGUACAGAGAAGAAUGGGCUGAUGCACUUCACUAAACAUUGUCAAAAAAAUCAUAUUUUACACAAAAUGAAAUAAUAUUUGAUUGGAAAAUAUAUUUAGCGUGAAGAAAAAUAAAGCUUAUUAAAUAUUUUUAGUCUUUUUAAUUUUUGUGUUUUUUGCAUUGUGACAUAAUUUUCCCCCCAAAUUGUGAUGCAAAAAAUAAUAAUAAUAA